rnacentral:rRNA from 1 species
UACAGAGGGGGCAAGCGUUAUUCGGAAUUAUUGGGCGUAAAGGGCGCGUAGGCGGCCUGGCAAGUGGAUGGUGAAAUCCCUCGGCUUAACCGAGGAACUGCCAUCCAGACUGCUUGGCUUGAGACCGGGAGAGGUGAGUGGAAUUCCCAGUGUAGCGGUGAAAUGCGUAGAUAUUCGCAAGAACACCAGUGGCGAAGGCGGCUCACUGGCCCGGUACUGACGCUGAGGUGCGAAAGCGUGGGGAGCAAACAGG